GAUGAACGCUGGCGGCGUGCCUAAUACAUGCAAGUCGAGCGAACAGACGAGGAGCUUGCUCCUCUGACGUUAGCGGCGGACGGGUGAGUAACACGUGGAUAACCUACCUAUAAGACUGGGAUAACUUCGGGAAACCGGAGCUAAUCCCGGAUAAUAUAUUGAACCGCAUGGUUCAAUAGUGAAAGACGGUUUUGCUGUCACUUAUAGAUGGAUCCGCGCCGCAUUAGCUAGUUGGUAAGGUAACGGCUUACCAAGGCAACGAUGCGUAGCCGACCUGAGAGGGUGAUCGGCCACACUGGAACUGAGACACGGUCCAGACUCCUACGGGAGGCAGCAGUAGGGAAUCUUCCGCAAUGGUCGAAAGCCUGACGGAGCAACGCCGCGUGAGUGAUGAAGGUCUUCGGAUCGUAAAACUCUGUUAUUAGGGAAGAACAAAUGUGUAAGUAACUAUGCACGUCUUGACGGUACCUAAUCAGAAAGCCACGGCUAACUACGUG
rnacentral:rRNA from 1 species